ensembl:lncRNA TPRXL tetrapeptide repeat homeobox like (pseudogene)
AGAGCCCUGUCCACAGCAAACUAAAAUGAUGGCUAUGUGGACAUGAGCAGCUUCAACACCUUUAAGAACAAUCAGCAGAGCACAGACCAGGACGCAGAAAGAUUAUUUAUGAAAACUGCAAUAGUCAUCAUUUAAAGUUAUGGAACUGUGUCCGGAAUUGGUGGGUUCUUGGUCUCACUGACUUCAAGAAUGAAGCCGCGGACCCUUGCGACAGAGUCUUGCCCUGUUGCCCAGGCUGGAGUAUAGUAGUGCAGUGGUGUGAUCAUAGCUCACUGUAACUUCGACCACCUGGGCUCAAACAAUCCUUCUUCCUCUGCCUCCCAAGUAGCUGGGACUACAGAACAGAGCAGGACCCAGGAUGCAAGACCCUAGGCAUCCCCAAGGCCUUCCACUGUCCCCAGGCCUUCCAAAGAGACAGCGGCAGGACCGCACAAUCUACAACUGGAAACAGCAGGAAGUGCUAGAAAAUCACUUUAAGGAGGAACAGUACCCAGACUAUGACACACGACAAGAGCUGGCGGAGAUGCUCAAUC